CGGGCCGCCUCGUGCCAGCGGCUUCGGCUUGUUUGAGUGCCCGCCAGAGGACCCCAACUUUUGGUUUUUUAAUAAUGUCUGAGUACUAUAUAAAUAGUUAAAAACUUUUCAACAACGGAUCUUCUUUGGUUCUGGCAUCGAUGAAAGAAACGCAGCGAAAUUGCGAUAAGUAAUGUGAAUUUGCAGAAUUCAGUGAAUCAUCGAAUCUUUGAACGCACAUUUGCGCCCUCUGGUAUUCCGGGGGGCAUGCCUGUUCGAGCGUCAUUAUAACCACUCAAGCUCUCGCUUUGGUAUUGGGGUUCGCGGUUUCGCGGCCCCUAAAAUCAGUGGCGGUGCCUGUCGGCUCUACGCGUAGUAAUACUCCUCGCGAUUGAGUCCGGUAGGUCUACUUUGCCAGCAACCCCUAAUUUUUUUAAGGUUGACCUCGGAUCAGGUAGGGAUACCCGCUGAACUUAAGCAUAUCAAUAAGCGGAGGAAAAGAAACCAACAGGGAUUACCUCAGUAACGGCGAGUGAAGCGGUAACAGCUCAAUUUGAAAGCUGGCUCUUUUAGGGUCCGCGUUGUAAUUUGUAGAAGAUGCUUCGGGUGUGC
rnacentral:rRNA from 1 species